AUUGAACGCUGGCGGCAUGCCUUACACAUGCAAGUCGAACGGCAGCACGGGAGCAAUCCUGGUGGCGAGUGGCGAACGGGUGAGUAAUAUAUCGGAACGUGCCCAGUCGUGGGGGAUAACGUAGAGAAAUUUACGCUAAUACCGCAUAUGAUCUAAGGAUGAAAGCGGGGACUCGCAAGAGCCUCGGCGCGAUUGGAGCGGCUGAUAUCAGAUUAGGUUGUUGGUGAGGUAAAAGCUCACCAAGCCGACGAUCCUGUAGCUGGUUUGAGAGAACGACCAAGCCACACUGGGACUGAGACACGGCCCAGACUCCUACGGGAGGGCAGCAGUGGGGAAUUUUUGGACAAUGGGCG
rnacentral:rRNA from 1 species